GGGACGUUAGCUCAGCUGGUAGAGCAGCGGACUUUUAAUCCGUUGGUCACAAGUUCGAAUCUUGUACGUCCUA
rnacentral:tRNA from 1 species